GGAAUAUUGGACAAUGGGGGAAACCCUGAUCCAGCCAUGCCGCGUGUGUGAAGAAGGCCUUUUGGUUGUAAAGCACUUUAAGCAGUGAAGAAGACUCUUCGGUUAAUACCCGGAGACGAUGACAUUAGCUGCAGAAUAAGCACCGGCUAACUCUGUGCCAGCAGCCGCGGUAAUACAGAGGGUGCAAGCGUUAAUCGGAAUUACUGGGCGUAAAGCGAGCGUAGGUGGCUUGAUAAGUCAGAUGUGAAAUCCCCGGGCUUAACCUGGGAACUGCAUCUGAUACUGUCAGGCUAGAGUAGGUGAGAGGAAGGUAGAAUUCCAGGUGUAGCGGUGAAAUGCGUAGAGAUCUGGAGGAAUACCGAUGGCGAAGGCAGCCUUCUGGCAUCAUACUGACACUGAGGCUCGAAAGCGUGGGUAGCAAACAGGAUUAGAUACCCUUG
rnacentral:rRNA from 1 species